rnacentral:rRNA from 1 species
AUUGAACGCUGGCGGAAUGCUUUACACAUGCAAGUCGAGCGGCAGCGCGGGGCAACCUGGCGGCGAGCGGCGAACGGGUGAGUAAUACAUCGGAACGUGCCCAGACGUGGGGGAUAACUACUCGAAAGAGUGGCUAAUACCGCAUACGAUCUACGGAUGAAAGCGGGGGAUCGCAAGACCUCGCGCGUCUGGAGCGGCUGAUGGCAGAUUAGGUAGUUGGUGGGAUAAAAGCCUACCAAGCCAACGAUCUGUAGCUGGUCUGAGAGGAUGAUCAGCCACACUGGGACUGAGACACGGCCCAGACUCCUACGGGAGGCAGCAGUGGGGAAUUUUGGACAAUGGGCGAAAGCCUGAUCCAGCCAUUCCGCGUGCAGGAUGAAGGCCCUCGGGUUGUAAACUGCUUUUGUACAGAACGAAAAAGACUCUGGCUAAUACCUGGAGUCCAUGACGGUAC